rnacentral:rRNA from 1 species
ACUCCUACGGGAGGCAGCAGUGGGGAAUAUUGCACAAUGGGGGAAACCCUGAUGCAGCCAUGCCGCGUGUGUGAAGAAGGCCUUCGGGUUGUAAAGCACUUUCAGUAGGGAGGAAGGUAGUGUAGUUAACACCUGCAUUAUUUGACGUUACCUACAGAAGAAGCACCGGCUAACUCCGUGCCAGCAGCCGCGGUAAUACGGAGGGUGCGAGCGUUAAUCGGAAUUACUGGGCGUAAAGCGCAUGCAGGCGGCCUGUUAAGUCAGAUGUGAAAGCCCGGGGCUUAAACCUCGGAAUUGCAUUUGAAACUGGCAGGCUAGAGUCUUGUAGAGGGGGGUAGAAUUUCAGGUGUAGCGGUGAAAUGCGUAGAGAUCUGAAGGAAUACCAGUGGCGAAGGCGGCCCCCUGGACAAAGACUGACGCUCAGAUGCGAAAGCGUGGGGAGCAAACAGGAUUAGAUACCCUGGUAAACACAGAGC